GUCUAUGGCCAUACCACCCUGAAUGCACCCAAUCAUGUCUGAUCUUGGAAGCUUAGCAGGGUCGGGCCUGGUUAGUGUUUGAAUGGCAGAAAGAGAGGAGAAAUAAUUCAAGCACCCUUCACU
rnacentral:rRNA from 1 species